AGAGUUUGAUCAUGGCUCAGAUUGAACGCUGGCGGCAUGCCUUACACAUGCAAGUCGAACGGCAGCACAGGAGCAAUCCUGGUGGCGAGUGGCGAACGGGUGAGUAAUAUAUCGGAACGUGCCCAUUAGUGGGGGAUAGCCCGGCGAAAGCCGGAUUAAUACCGCAUGAGACCUGAGGGUGAAAGCGGGGGAUCGUAAGACCUCGCGCUAGUGGAGCGGCCGAUAUCAGAUUAGCUAGUUGGUGGGGUAAAGGCCUACCAAGGCAACGAUCUGUAGUUGGUCUGAGAGGACGACCAGCCACACUGGGACUGAGACACGGCCCAGACUCCUACGGGAGGCAGCAGUGGGGAAUUUUGGACAAUGGGCGCAAGCCUGAUCCAGCAAUGCCGCGUGCAGGAAGAAGGCCUUCGGGUUGUAAACUGCUUUUGUCAGGGAAGAAAUCCUCUGGGCUAAUACCUCGGGGGGAUGACGGUACCUGAAGAAUAAGCACCGGCUAACUACGUGCCAGCAGCCGCGGUAAUACGUAGGGUGCGAGCGUUAAUCGGAAUUACUGGGCGUAAAGCGUGCGCAGGCGGCUUUGCAAGACAGAUGUGAAAUCCCCGGGCUCAACCUGGGAACUGCAUUUGUGACUGCAAGGCUAGAGUACGGCAGAGGGGGAUGGAGUUCCGCGUGUAGCAGUGAAAUGCGUAGAUAUGCGGAG
rnacentral:rRNA from 1 species